rnacentral:tRNA from 1 species
AAAGAAUUAGUUAAAUUAACAUUAGUAUGUCAUACUUAAAUUACUGGUCUAAAUCCAGUAUUCUUUA